rnacentral:miRNA from 1 species
UGGGCAGCCUCUCAGUGAGCUCU